AACGAACGCUGGCGGCAUGCCUAACACAUGCAAGUCGAACGAGACCUUCGGGUCUAGUGGCGCACGGGUGCGUAACGCGUGGGAAUCUGCCCUUCGGUUCGGAAUAACAGUGGGAAACUACUGCUAAUACCGGAUAAUGACGUAAGUCCAAAGAUUUAUCGCCGAGGGAUGAGCCCGCGUAGGAUUAGCUAGUUGGUGGGGUAAGGCCUACCAAGGCGACGAUCCUUAGCUGGUCUGAGAGGAUGAUCAGCCACACUGGGAC
rnacentral:rRNA from 1 species